rnacentral:rRNA from 1 species
AUUGAACGCUGGCGGCAGGCCUAACACAUGCAAGUCGAGCGGUAGAGAGAAGCUUGCUUCUCUUGAGAGCGGCGGACGGGUGAGUAAUGCCUAGGAAUCUGCCUGGUAGUGGGGGAUAACGUUCGGAAACGGACGCUAAUACCGCAUACGUCCUACGGGAGAAAGCAGGGGACCUUCGGGCCUUGCGCUAUCAGAUGAGCCUAGGUCGGAUUAGCUAGUUGGUGAGGUAAUGGCUCACCAAGGCGACGAUCCGUAACUGGUCUGAGAGGAUGGUCAGUCACACUGGAACUGAGACACGGUCCAGACUCCUACGGGAGGCAGCAGUGGGAAGUAUUGGACAAU